GAUGAACGCUGGCGGCGUGCUUAACACAUGCAAGUCGAACGAAGCACUUAAGAUUGAUUCUUCGGAUGACGUCUUUUGUGACUUAGUGGCGGACGGGUGAGUAACGCGUGGGUAACCUGCCUCACACAGGGGGAUAACAGUUAGAAAUGACUGCUAAUACCGCAUAACCCGAUAGGAUCGCAUGAUCCAGACGGAAAAGAUUUAUCGGUGUGAGAUGGACCCGCGUCUGAUUAGCUAGUUGGUGAGGUAACGGCCCACCAAGGCGACGAUCAGUAGCCGGCCUGAGAGGGUGAACGGCCACAUUGGGACUGAGACACGGCCCAAACUCCUACGGGAGGCAGCAGUGGGGAAUAUUGCACAAUGGGGGAAACCCUGAUGCAGCGACGCCGCGUGAGUGAAGAAGUAUUUCGGUAUGUAAAGCUCUAUCAGCAGGGAAGAAAAUGACGGUACCUGACUAAGAAGCCCCGGCUAACUACG
rnacentral:rRNA from 1 species